GAUGAACGCUGGCGGUGUGCCUAAUACAUGCAAGUCGAGCGAACAGAUGAGGAGAUUGCGCCUUUGACGUUAGCGAGGGACGGGCGAGUAACAAGUGGAUAACCAACUUAUAUGACGGGGAGAAUAACGGGAGAACAGAUCCAAUAAUGGCUAAUACAAUCAACCGCAGAGAGCAAUAGAUCAUCGCGGCUUUGCCGAUUCUUUUAGAUGGUGCCGGGCCGCAUUAGCUGGUUGGUAAGGUAACGGCUUACCAAGGCGACGAUGCGUAGCUGAGCUGAGAGGAUGAUCGGCCACACUGGAACUGAGACACGGUCCAGACUCCUACGGGAGGCAGCAGUGGGGAAUAUUGCGCAAUGGGCGAAAGCCUGAUGCAGCCAUGCCGCGUGAGUGAAGAAGGUCUUCGGAUCGUAAAGCUCUGUUAUUAGGAAAGAAAAACAGUGUGAGUAAAUAUCGACGUCUUGACGGUACCUAAUGAGAAAGCACCGGCUAACUUCGUG
rnacentral:rRNA from 1 species